GAGGUAGUAGGUUGUAUAGUAGUAAUUACACAUCAUACUAUACAACCUACUACCUCUCU
rnacentral:misc_RNA from 1 species